CCGCCUUCUUCCCCAGCAGUGAAAAGAAAAGGGGAAAAAGCAGAGUCUUUAAAACUUGAAGUCCAGAUUUCACCGGGCACCUGGAGUGUCCUCCUAGAGCGCGAGCCCGGCCACCUCAUUCCUGCCCUCAGAGUCUCCAGCGGGUCCCCACAGCCGCCUGGGCCUGCGAGGGCCAGAUUUGCUUCUUACGCUCACGGCGAUGGUGCGGAGCAUCAGUCACAGUCCCCGGCUCUCAGUGGGAACAGGGUGCUGACGCCUGCUGGGCCGAGGCUGGACCCGGCUGGCACCGCCCAUCUGUGUUUGACAGUGACCGUCUUGGCCUGAGCAAGGCUCAGGCUGGACCCCCGCGGGUCCUUCUCUGGGGUCCUAUUCCUGGCCUCCACCCACUCCAGGCAGGGGCUCCCACCUGUCCUGAGGUCCCCAGGCCUGGCCAGGUGUCCCCGGGGGGUGGGGGCAGGGUGGCCCAGCUCGGAGGCCUUGGUGGGGCUCCUGCGUCUGAGGGGACCUGGUUCUGCCGGGCGACUGGGCCAGUUCCUGUCCCUGAGGCCAGGCAGCAGUGGCCGCCUCCGGAAGCCUCUGACUAGAAAUGGCCGAGGCACACAAAUGGCUGCUGCCCCAGGCAGAGGCUUCUGGAAGGUCCUGACCAGCUCUGCAGCCCAGCAGCAGGCCCUGCCCCUUCCCACGCGGCCACCUCUCCAGGCCUGAGACUCGGUGGCCCAGGAGGGCAGGCAGGGUUAGGCGUUGGGGACACUUCCUGUGCGGCAGCAGGGGGCCGCCACACCAGGUGGGCCAACGGAGAGCGCAGCUGGGCACCCCACUUCCUGCCCCAGGAGGGCCGCUGGCCCCUGGCCCCGCCCCAGGAUAACCUCCCUGGGGGCACACGCCACCCGCAGCAGCUGCACCUCCGCUCCCCAGGGACCAGGACAGGCA